GGCUAGUACGGGCACGGCGAGGCGGGAGUACGGAGGGGGCAAGGGGUGGCCGGAGUGAGUUGUGUGAAGGGGCUCGUAGGCGGUGUGUUGCGUCUGCGGUGAGAACCCGGGGCUCAACCUGGGUCCUGCAGGGGGUACUGGGAGACUAGAGUGUGGUAGGGGAGACUGGAAUUCCUGGUGUAGCGGUGGAAUGCGCAGAUAUCAGGAGGAACACCAAUGGCGAAGGCAGGUCUCUGGGCCACAACUGACGCUGAGGAGCGAAAGCGUGGGGAGCGAACAGGAUUAGAUACCCCAGUAGUC
rnacentral:rRNA from 1 species